GGGAAUAUUGGACAAUGGGGGCAACCCUGAUCCAGCCAUGCCGCGUGUGUGAAGAAGGCCCUCGGGUUGUAAAGCACUUUCAGCGAGGAAGAACGCCUGUCGGUUACUACCCGGUAGGAAAGACAUCACUCGCAGCAGAAGCACCGGCUAACUCCGUUCCAGCAGCCGCGGUAAUACGGAGGGUGCAAGCGUUAAUCGGAAUUACUGGGCGUAAAGCGCGCGUAGGUGGCUUGAUAAGCCGGUUGUGAAUGCCCCGGGCUCAACCUGGGAACGGCAUCCGGAACUGUCAGGCUAGAGUGCAGGAGAGGAAGGUAGAAUUCCCGGUGUAGCGGUGAAAUGCGUAGAGAUCGGGAGGAAUACCAGUGGCGAAGGCGGCCUUCUGGACUGACACUGACGCUGAGGUGCGAAAGCGUGGGGAGC
rnacentral:rRNA from 1 species